UCCAUACGGAUCCUUUAUAUCCCUUUUUACUCUCCUUCUUUCUCAAGCUUCGUCAUUCUACACAAACCCUAAAACCAAAGUUGUUCAUCAGGUUCUUUCGUUCAAUAAUCCUUCGUCGCCGCUUUCAUUCUUCGUUGUGGCGAUCAGAGGUUUGAUAAAUGUUCAAUUCCCCACAAACCCUAAAACUAAAGACGCCAUUCAUCUUUAAUCGUUUUUCGUCGAUUCAAGUUUGAUAAACAAAGAUUUUCAAUCAAAUCUUUGUUGAUUCCGAUGGUGCCGUCGUCAAAGAAGAUAAGUGCACCGGUGAGGAAUUGUUUUGGAACGAUCGGACGGGAAUGUGUGAUUAAGGCGUAUCACUUUCUUGUGGAUCUAGGUCAAAAGGAUGAAAAAUCUCAGGGAAUGAUGUAAUAUUUUGGCUCGUAGAUAAAUAUGGGAUCAACGAUGUUAAUGAUGCUACUAAGUAUUACAAGAUAGUUGUUGAGCGUGGGUUCACAAGAGGACGAAUAACGGCACAAGUUGCAGUUGCUUACCUCUAUGUUGUGUGUCGGUAAGUGAUUACUAAUAUUCCAGUUUUGAUUUAUUUUUUUUGGUUUUAACAAGUGAUGAUAGCUUCUUGGUACAAAUCAAUCUAAUUAUAUAGAAGAUUACAAAUUGGAUCAACUGCCAUGAUUGGAAGUACGUUGGUAUGUAUGUAAUAAAACCAUUCUUUUUCCCGUUUCUUCAUAUAUCAGAGUAUAGGAUAUAUUGUAUUCUACUUGUUGAAGUUGUAAUCUUUUAAAGUUAUAUUCUGAGUUUAACUUGAAAAACGAACACGUAAUCAAUCAGACCAGUUGCUUUGGUUUAUAACUUGGGUGUAAGGGGCAUUUAUGAAUGUAACUAUCAGUGUAAGCAUACAAUGGAAUUACGACACCUUUGGUAGAAAGAUGAAGGCUGUUGGAGCAAGUGAUCAUGGAGUGAGAUUGAAGCCAACUCUUAACUUACUAACAAAAACAAAUGUCAAUUUCAUAUUUACCAAAAGAUCAUCAUCAGUUAUGGAGUGGUUGGAGAUGAAGUGAUGAUGAUAGUGAUGGUUUCCGGUGACCGAACGACCGGAAUGAAAGCAGUGGUGAUGGUCGAUAGUGGUGGUUGCGGUUCAAGUUGGUGACGGUGAUGGUCGAUAGUGGUUUUUUUAAUUAAUAUUUUGAGGAUUGUUGGAAGGAGGUUUGUUAAGGUGAGUUCUAUUGGAGUGACCUAUGGUUGAGGUGUUUUGUGAGUUUGGGAGGGAAUUCAUUCCCAAAGCUCAAUACAUAAAUAAACAUACAUUGGACGCGGAAUCCGUUUUGAUGUCGGGUUAUCUUAUACCCGUUCAUUCGGAUCUAUAUAAAAGGCACUACCCAGUAAUUCAGACCACUUUCUUUCCUGUUCCCUCUAAACCCUGGCCGACAACUUCAUCGUAUUCUUUGUUCUUCUUUGCUAAUCUGCCCUCUCAAUUCGAAGAUGAAGAUGAGCAUCAGUCUUGAUGUAAACUCCAUGGCGUCCAG